UACACUCCUGCGGGAGGCAGCAGUAGGGAAUCUUCGGCAAUGGGGGCAACCCUGACCGAGCAACGCCGCGUGAGUGAAGAAGGUUUUCGGAUCGUAAAGCUCUGUUGUAAGUCAAGAACGAGUGUGAGAGUGGAAAGUUCACACUGUGACGGUAGCUUACCAGAAAGGGACGGCUAACUACGUGCCAGCAGCCGCGGUAAUACGUAGGUCCCGAGCGUUGUCCGGAUUUAUUGGGCGUAAAGCGAGCGCAGGCGGUUUGAUAAGUCUGAAGUUAAAGGCUGUGGCUCAACCAUAGUUCGCUUUGGAAACUGUCAAACUUGAGUGCAGAAGGGGAGAGUGGAAUUCCAUGUGUAGCGGUGAAAUGCGUAGAUAUAUGGAGGAACACCGGUGGCGAAAGCGGCUCUCUGGUCUGUAACUGACGCUGAGGCUCGAAAGCGUGGGGAGCGAACAGGAUUAGAUACCCUAGUAGUCCCAUGAU
rnacentral:rRNA from 1 species